rnacentral:rRNA from 1 species
UACGUAGGGGCCUAGCGUUGUCCGGAUUUACUGGGCGUAAAGAGCGCGCAGGCGGUCGUAUAAGUCGAAUGUGAAAGCCCCCGGCUCAACUGGGGAGGGUCAUUCGAUACUGUUCGACUCGAAGGCAGGAGAGGGAAGUGGAAUUCCGGGUGUAGUGGUGAAAUGCGUAGAUAUCCGGAGGAACACCAGUGGCGAAGGCGACUUUCUGGCCUGUUCUUGACGCUGAGGCGCGAAAGCUAGGGGGGCAAACGGG